AACUUUCAGCAACGGAUCUCUUGGCUCUCGCAUCGAUGAAGAACGCAGCGAAAUGCGAUAAGUAAUGUGAAUUGCAGAAUUCAGUAAAUCAUCGAAUCUUUGAACGCACCUUGCACCCUUUGGCAUUCCGAAGGGUAUGCUCGUUUGAGUGUCAUUGUACUCUCACACUCCCGAUGCUUUUGGAUUGGGAGUGGUGGACUUGGGUGUUGCUGCUUUACUGUGGCUCACCUCAAAUGGAGUAGUGCAACUCUUGGUUGGACAUAGUACGGCGUGAUAAGUGUCUUCGCCGGCGCCUCAUUAGAGGGUGGCCGAUCGGGAGCUCUGUGCUUCAAACCGUCUUCGGACAACAUCUGACAACUUGACCUCAAAUCGAGUAGGACUACCCGCUGAACUUAAGCAUAUCAUAAGCGGAGGC
rnacentral:misc_RNA from 1 species